rnacentral:rRNA from 1 species
AUGAAGUUGGAAUCGCUAGUAAUCGCGGAUCAGCAUGCCGCGGUGAAUACGUUCCCGGGCCUUGUACACACCGCCCGUCACACCAUGAGAGUCGGGAACACCCGAAGUCCGUAGCCUAACCGCAAGGAGGGCGCGGCCGAAGGUGGGUUCGAUAAUUGGGGUGAAGUCGUAACAAGGUACC